rnacentral:lncRNA from 1 species
CCUGUCUUAGCUAGUAAAGGAGUCAGGAGACAUUGUUUGGAACUUGGACAGUCGUUAUAGGAAAGUGUAGUCAGAUAGUCUCCAAUUCACCAUAGUUUUAUUUAGGACUUUUCAAAUUUACAGUGAGCAAAACCGGUACACAUUGAGGAGAAACUAUACCUGGAAUGUGGGAUCUGUCUCUUCUGCUGGGCAGUGAUACACAGUACGAUCCUCUUCCAGUGACGGCAGCUUUCAGCUCAUGGUGUGAUCAUGAGGGAACAGUGACACUCUGCAGCAUAGUGUUCGGUUGGCUGUGUGUUGGGUAGGUUUUUGACUUAUGAUAUUUUCAGGGUACCAUGGGUCUCAUGGGAUAUAACCUCUUCCUGAGUCAAGGAGGAUCUGUACUGACUUUGAAGGUAUCUACCUGGAAGAGACACUUCUCAUUUCCACGCAAGGGAAGUCACAUGGCCCCAGCUAAGCUCCAGUGGGUGAGAAGUAACCUUUCCAACUGUCCAAGAGAGAGGGCCAGAGUACUGCGGACAGCUCUACCGACAACUGCACUCAACCAGUGGACAUGCCCAUGUGGCAGGUUUCUGGCACAGAUCUUGGGCCUCAGGAAUUCUGAGACGGGAGAUAGCAUCACAGCUCGCUUUCUGGAGGAGAUGAGGUCAGAAGUCAGCCUUCAAGGACAGCCCAGCAUCAGCAUGGCUGCCACCAUGGAUCUUGAUGAGAUGGAUAUGAGGUCAGAGGACCCAGGAGUACACAUGGCUUUCCCAGGCACAACCCCUCACCCGAAGAGCUGAAGCAAAGGCAGAGGGAAGCUUGCUGCUAGCUGGGGUUUUGAGCUCAGACCUAGGAAGUGGCGCUGGACCACUGGUCAGGUCUCCAAGCCUUGGACCCAAGACCUCUUCCUCCUAAGGCCACACCCUGGCCUCAGGUGAGCAAAGGGGCAGCAACAGGAAGCAGUGGUGCCCAGGUGGCCUGCUAGGGAACAGACUCAGGUCUACUUGUCUGCACCAGAGGGGGUUGGGUGGGCAAGGAGAAGGUGCAAGAAAGAGAUAUCUAUGGCUACUUGGAAAGAGUGGGGAGGACACCCCCAGAGAAGCACCUGGUGGAAGGGGGAGCAGCCCUUGGGCCUCUCCUCCUUGGACUCAGCAAAGAGGAAGAAGGCCAAGGAGCCAGCACCAGCCUGGCCCUGGCAUGGUCAGCGAGGGGCUGUGUCCAAAUGAACAGGGGUGUGAUCCUGGCCAGCACAGUGGCAGGCCAGCACCCUUGAGCUGGCCAGAAGGCGUGUGGGAAGAGAGAGAGCACUCUUCUCCUUGUGAGGGUCCACCAGUGCCUUCCCUGGUGUGCUAGGCUUUUUUCCUUCUGUGUUUUAUUUCUCUCUUUGUCUUGUAGCCUGCUUUCACACGGCAACCCAGUGCACCAAUGUCUUGCAGCAGGUUCCUAGAAUCUCUAUGGAGAAGCAGGCAGCAGACAACCUAAGCCACAGCGGUGGGAGUGGCGAGGGUUCUGCAGUCCUCACUGUCCUUUCUUGGGGGGGGCCUGGUGCCUGGCAACCUCUGGAAUCAUGGCAUUAUGUUCUCAGUGUGGGGUCCCUUUCCUCAUCUCAGAGUAUGCCUAAUCUCCCCAAAUUCCUUCAAACAGUAUUAUUCAGACAGUGAAUUUGCAAAGCAGUUAGUGUUGUUAAAAAGCAUGCACUCUGGGCUCAGAUAUGGGUUGCAAUGUCCUUUCUCCCACUCCCUGGUGGCAAGACAUAGACACACUGCUGCAUUCAUGAGUUGGGCUGUGAGGAUCACUAAGUUACUGGAUAGAGAUAACCAUGUAGUAGCUGGUGAGCAUCCAGUGCUCAGUGUGCAGCAGCAGUUACUCAGAUUAGAAAAGAAACAAGCUGGGAAGGUGGUGCACAGCUAUAAUCCUGGCAUCGUGGGAGGAUGAGGCAGGAGUAUUGAAAGUGUGAGGCCUGCCUGGCCAACUAAGUGACUUAGCAAGAGCCUGUCUCAAAAAUAAAUAAAAUAAAUAAAUGCUGUUAUGGCUUGUGUCUAUGUGUACCCUUAAAGCCUCAUGCAGUCAUAGAUGGGAUGGUGGAAUUGAUUCAUGGUGCAAUGCUAGGAUCAGGGGCACUAGGAUUAAGGGUGUGAGUGCUACCUGCCCUAAGUAGCCUGGACAAGACAUAAGGGAUAGAAAGAGCUGUGGUUUUCCCCUUUGCUUGGUUUGCUACCUUCUGCCUGCUGUGAACUGUUUCUCCUCUGUGACGUCCCCUCUGCCAUCCACCCUGCCUUGGAGCCAGCCGACUAGGGACUGAAACUUCUACAAACUGUGAGCUAAAUAAAA